rnacentral:rRNA from 1 species
GGCAGCAGCCAUGUCACCCUGCAACUCACACCUGGCAACCCACUAAAGCUAAGCAGGUGUGAGCCUGGCCAGUACCUGGAUUGGAGAUUUCCUGGGAAAAACUAAGGUUGCUGCUGGAA